rnacentral:ncRNA from 1 species
CAAAGCAUUGCGAUGGCCGCUGGUCGGUGUUGACGCAAUGUGAUUUCUGCCCAGUGCUCUGAAUUGUCAACGUGAAGAGAUUCAUCAAAGCGCGGGUAAACGGCGGGAGUAACUAUGACUCUCUUUCGUUUCGUGUCUGCACAGACUUUCGUGUCUGCACAGCAGUUCUGGUAAGAGGGGUUGCCAGACUUUCGUGCCAAGCGCACUAAAACGGCGCUGUAGGCCGAUCCCGGCGCAGUGAAGGCUUCCCCUUCAACACAGGGCAUCAGGGGACGAAGCCGCAGCAUGGCAGGUGCUUUUGACAGCAUCCAAUCUAAUAAUUAGCGUUGAAAAAAUGUUUUACUAUUG